CUCAUUGGAUGAGUUUGGCAGUUGUGGGUUUUCAUCUCACACUGUGUCAAUUGUUCCUAUUGAGUUAUUUGUUGUGAAUUGUCGUCAGCUGUUACUGUGUCAGACUGUCCUAUUAGGUCUCUGUUCUGACUGUCCUAGCAGGUCUCUGUUCUGACUGUCCUAGCAGGUCUCUUUUCUGACUGUCCUAGCAGGUCUCUGUUCUGACUGUCCUAGCAGGUCUCUUUUCUGACUGUCCUAGCAGGUCUCUGUUCUGACUGUCCUAGCAGGUCUCUAUUCUGACUGUCCUAGCAGGUCUCUUUUCUGACUGUCCUAGCAGGUCUCUGUUCUGACUGUCCUAGCAGGUCUCUUUUCUGACUGUCCUAGCAGGUCUCUGUUCUGACUGUCUAGCAGGUCUCUGUUCUGACUGUCCUAGCAGGCCUCUGUUCUGACUGUCUAGCAGGUCUCUGUUCUGACUGUCCUUGCAGGUUUCUGUCCUGACUGUCCUAGCAGGUCUCUAUUCUGACUGUCUAGCAGGUCUCUGUUCUGACUGUCCUAGCAGGUCUCAGUUCUGACUGUCCCAGCAGGUCUCUGUUCUGACUGUCCUAGCAGGUCUCUGUUCUGACUGUCCUAGCAGGUCUCUGUUCUGACUGUCUAGCAGGUCUCUGUUCUGACUGUCCUAGCAGGUCUCUGUUCUGUCUGUCCUAGCAGGUCUCUGUUCUGACUGUCCUUGCAGGUUUCUGUCCUGACUGUCCUAGCAGGUCUCUAUUCUGACUGUCUAGCAGGUCUCUGUUCUGACUGUCCUAGCAGGUCUCAGUUCUGACUGUCCCAGCAGGUCUCUGUUCUGACUGUCCUAGCAGGUCUCUGUUCUGACUGUCCUAGCAGGUCUCUGUUCUGACUGUCUAGCAGGUCUCUGUUCUGACUGUCCUAGCAGGUCUCUGUUCUGUCUGUCCUAGCAGGUCUCUGUUCUGACUGUCCUUGCAGGUCUCUGUCCUGACUGUCCUUGCAGGUCUCUGUUUUGACUGUCCUAGCAGGUCUCUGUUCUGACUGUCCUUGCAGGUCUCUGUUUUGACUGUCCUAGCCGGUCUCUGUUCUGACUGUCCUUGCAGGUCUAUGUGCUGACUGUCCUUGCAGGUCUCUGUUCAGACUGUCCUAGCGGGUCUCCACACCAUUCUGGGAGUACUAUUCUGUCUGUAAACUCAAAUACCCUGGUUGCUCAUUUUAUGUUUUCUAUUGUAAACAUUGAGAUGCUUUUGGAAUAAAAGUAAUAAAAAACAUUCCAGUUA